UUCAGCCUCUACCCUCCACAGGUAGGAUAUAUUACCUGACAUUCAGCCUCUAACCUCCACAGGUAGGAUAUAUUACCUGACAUUCAGCCUCUAACCUCUGCAGGUAGGAUAUAUUACCUGACAUUCAGCCUCUAACCUCCGCAGGUAGGAUAUAUUACCUGACAUUCAGCCUCUAACCUCCACAGGUAGGAUAUAUUACCUGACAUUCAGCCUCUAACCUCUGCAGGUAG